rnacentral:misc_RNA from 1 species
GAUGAAGAACGUAGCGAAAUGCGAUACGUAGUGUGAAUUGCAGAAUUCAGUGAAUCAUCGAAUCUUUGAACGCACAUUGCACCUCUCGGUAUUCCGGGAGGUACGCCUGUUCGAGCGUCAUUUGUACCCUCAAGCUCUGCUUGGUGUUGGGUGUUUGUUCCGCCUCUGUGUGUGAACUCGCCUCAAAACAAUUGGCAGCCGGCGUACUUGUUUCGGAGCGCAGCACAUUUUGCGAUCCAGAUCAACGUACAGCGGCAUCCAAGAAGCCUUAUUUAACGCUCUUGACCUCGGAUCAGGUAGGGAUACCCGCUGAACUUAAGCAUAUCAAUAAGCGGAGGA